GACAGAGGGUGCAAACGUUGUUCGGAAUUACUGGGCGUAAGCGCGUGUAGGCGGUUAUGCAAGUCGGGUGUGAAAGCCCAGGGCUCAACCCUGGAAGUGCAUUCGAUACUGCGUAGCUAGGAGUACCGGAGAGGGUGGUGGAACUCUGGGUGUAGAGGUGAAAUUCGUAGAUAUCCAGAAGAACACCGGUGGCCGAAGGCGGCCACCUGGACCGGGAUACCUGAGCUGAGACGCGAAAGCCGUGGGAGCAAACAGUC
rnacentral:rRNA from 1 species